rnacentral:rRNA from 1 species
ACUGCAGUCGACGAACUCUGGUAUUGAUUGGUGCUUGCAUCAUGAUUUACAUUUGAGUGAGUGGCGAACUGGUGAGUAACACGUGGGAAACCUGCCCAGAAGCGGGGGAUAACACCUGGAAACAGAUGCUAAUACCGCAUAACAACUUGGACCGCAUGGUCCGAGCUUGAAAGAUGGCUUCGGCUAUCACUUUUGGAUGGUCCCGCGGCGUAUUAGCUAGAUGGUGGGGUAACGGCUCACCAUGGCAAUGAUACGUAGCCGACCUGAGAGGGUAAUCGGCCACAUUGGGACUGAGACACGGCCCAAACUCCUACGGGAGGCAGCAGUAGGGAAUCUUCCACAAUGGACGAAAGUCUGAUGGAGCAACGCCGCGUGAGUGAAGAAGGGUUUCGGCUCGUAAAACUCUGUUGUUAAAGAAGAACAUAUCUGAGAGUAACUGUUCAGGUAUUGACGGUAUUUAACCAGAAAGCCACGGCUAACUACGUGCCAGCAGCCGCGGUAAUACGUAGGUGGCAAGCGUUGUCCGGAUUUAUUGGGCGUAAAGCGAGCGCAGGCGGUUUUUUAAGUCUGAUGUGAAAGCCUUCGGCUCAACCGAAGAAGUGCAUCGGAAACUGGGAAACUUGAGUGCAGAAGAGGACAGUGGAACUCCAUGUGUAGCGGUGAAAUGCGUAGAUAUAUGGAAGAACACCAGUGGCGAAGGCGGCUGUCUGGUCUGUAACUGACGCUGAGGCUCGAAAGUAUGGGUAGCAAACAGGAUUAGAUACCCUGGUAGUCCAUACCGUAAACGAUGAAUGCUAAGUGUUGGAGGGUUUCCGCCCUUCAGUGCUGCAGCUAACGCAUUAAGCAUUCCGCCUGGGGAGUACGGCCGCAAGGCUGAAACUCAAAGGAAUUGACGGGGGCCCGCACAAGCGGUGGAGCAUGUGGUUUAAUUCGAAGCUACGCGAAGAACCUUACCAGGUCUUGACAUACUAUGCAAAUCUAAGAGAUUAGACGUUCCCUUCGGGGACAUGGAUACAGGUGGUGCAUGGUUGUCGUCAGCUCGUGUCGUGAGAUGUUGGGUUAAGUCCCGCAACGAGCGCAACCCUUAUUAUCAGUUGCCAGCAUUAAGUUGGGCACUCUGGUGAGACUGCCGGUGACAAACCGGAGGAAGGUGGGGAUGACGUCAAAUCAUCAUGCCCCUUAUGACCUGGGCUACACACGUGCUACAAUGGAUGGUACAACGAGUUGCGAACUCGCGAGAGUAAGCUAAUCUCUUAAAGCCAUUCUCAGUUCGGAUUGUAGGCUGCAACUCGCCUACAUGAAGUCGGAAUCGCUAGUAAUCGCGGAUCAGCAUGCCGCGGUGAAUACGUUCCCGGGCCUUGUACACACCGCCCGUCACACCAUGAGAGUUUGUAACACCCAAAGUCGGUGGGGUAACCCUUUUAGGAACCAGCCGCCUAAGG